rnacentral:tRNA from 1 species
AGUGUCGUGUUGUAGUUGGUUGUCACGUCAAUCUAACACACUAAAGGUCUCCGAUUCGAGUCCGGGCGACGCCA